GAUAAGGGAAGCUGCCUCUCUGCCCUGCCUCAGAUGGGCGCGGGGAGAGCUGCUCUUCACAGGCAGCCCCGGUGGAAAGCCAUUUAAACAAGCGUGCAGGAAAUACUGGGCCCAUCUUUUGAAUAAUUCUCGCAGCAGCAGCACGCAGCCAAAAGUUGGGAGAGUGUGGCGUGCCGAGGAGAGGCAUCCUCGUCCGCAGACGUGCGUAUUUACUGGCGUCUGCAUCAGGCUUUCUUCUCCGCCGGAGCAUUGAGAAAUUUAGCGAUAAUUCAUGCUUGGUAAAUUUGUUUUCUGUAAUAAGAUCAAGCCCACAAAGGGAGAAUGAAAAGCAGUGCCGCCUGCGCUUCCUUAUCAGCGGUGAUGCCAGCUAAGAGCUGCGAUCGCAGGAAGCUGCUCCGAGGUGCUCUCGCCUGCUGCUUUAUUCAGUUUACUCAGAAAAGACUUCGCCGCAGUUUUAAUUUUCAGCUUCGCACCAGCGAAGCGGCGGCCAGUUCAGUGGAGCAGCGGUGGCCAGCGGGCCCCCACCGAGAGCGGCCAGGCUCCUCUCCAUCCCGGCAGACCACUCGAGUGGAACAUCGGCCAAGCGGCGGCUUUGUUGCUGGGGAGACGAGUACCAGCCUCUCGCUUCCGUCUGUCCCUGCCCUCACUCUUCCCAGCUGGUAGGGGAGGGAAACUGGCAGCGCAAACCUUGGUGCUGUACCCACUUCUCACAUUUGCCUGGCAGAGGAUGCGCCAACAGGAGGGAAAUGGUGCGCGACGCAUUUGUGGAGGUGCACGUGUGUCUCCUCUGUAGCUGCAUUAGCACAUCGGCAGGUCUUACAUUUCUUCAGCCUUGGAUGUCCUGACAGAGUAGAAAGAAUCACAGAUCUCAUUUGGCACUACGAACUUCACCUGUGUUUGAAUUACAGUGCAAAACAGAAGGCUGCAGCUUCCUCCCAUUCAAUUGCACUCCAUUUUACAUCCAGGUUUACCCUUCUACCUCAGGAACUGGGGUGCCUACAGAGCUGGAAAUGACAGGUCAUCUCCUUUCCUGCCUGUUUUUGGCCAUAGUUUGGUGGUUGAUGAGUAGUAAAAGUAGGUGUCUGCUCAGGCAGAAGGCUGAGGACCUGCCAGCCACUCCAGCUAUGUCCAAGGGUAGUUAUAGUCACAGGACUUCAUUUCCUAAGGCUGUCACACACCAGGAAAGCCCAGAGAAGCGCUCUUAAAUACACUAACCACUAGUCAUAUAAAGAGAUUUUCUAGUCAAUAAAGAGAUUUUCAACAGGCCAGUGGAGAAAAUUCCUUUAGCUGUUCAUUUUUAAAAAUCCACUUGUAUCUGUGCAAAUGACUGUUUGCAAGUAAACACAUUCUUAGACCCUGGAAAAGGGGACUGUAGUGUUGCUGAGGGUCUGGAUGCACCUACUGAUGUCAUUGCACAUGCAGGAGCCAAUUUUGUUUUGAGAAGAACAGUGUAUCUACAGCUUGCACUCUGUCAUAACAUAUGUGAAAUUAAUAUCCUACUGCAAGUGUAUACGGUGCAAAGGAAGCCUUUGGUACAGUGCACCUUCUUGAAAUUAAUCUCUAGCUCCUGAAUCCUUCAUCCUGAGGAGAAGAAACAAGGCUUGAAAGCACUCCAAAGAACCAUGUUGACAUCACAGCUGCUGUUUUUAAUACCCCACUGUGCAGGGUAGCAUCCUGAAAGAGACUAAAAGCCUCUGUCCAUCUACUCAUGCCAGAUCCAAAGCAGGUGGCUGUUAGAGCUGUCUUUUUCAGGUUGCCAGGCCUUCUUUUGGGGAUCUAUCUUAGAGCCAAGGGCAAUCUCCAGUGGGGUUUGCACCAAUUAUUUACUCUAUUUAUAUGUAGCUAAUUAAGUGAUAAUCCCAAAGAAUCAGGAUAUAUGUGAAAUAAUAAUUAUUACUCACCAAGCACAAGCUGAGCAAAUUAUUUGUUUGUUUCUUUUGUUUAUGCCCAUAUGCUUUAAUACUGAUGAUUGAAAGUUUGUCACUGCACCUUGGGAUGUAAUUAUACUGUCAAAACUAGAGUUAAAGAUAGAAUAAGUUUGGUUGAUGGGGGAAAAUGCAGAGUUUUGAUUUCAGAGAAGCAAAAAAUGUGUCGUUUGGACUCAGCUGUGACAUUAGAAAUAUUUUUGAGUUCCCUAUCAAUGUUAAAUGCUGGAAAGACCACCUCUGCUCACAGGAGAGGUUCAGAGAUUUGUGGUACAGUUUUAAUGGCACAGCAUCUCUGCAGAUGUGUGAUGGUCUCCUGGUGUGGAUGUUUCAGAGGCCAUUUCAGCAAGUUAACCAGGAGGAUGUGUCCCACCACAGACUUUCCUCUAAACUAUUCUGUUAUGAGAAAGUACUAAACUGGGCUCCUGCAUGCAAACAUGUUUUGUUAUGAUGGUGUCUGGAUGGGUGGGGUUGGUCUUUGUGUUCAAGCCAUUAUAUUGUGAGACCAGGUUAAAUAAAAUGAGGCUCUUAGUACUCCCUGGGUAAGCAAAACAAGUAUAGAAUGUGCUAGGAUACACCUAACUUAGAUUCUCAAAGUUUUUUGUAUAAUCAGCAAGGCUGUAAAAGUGCUGCUUUUAAAUUUUUAGCACCCCUUGGAUACCUCUGUAGUCUCAGGUCCAUUCCCAGGGUUAACUGAAGCCUAGUUCACGAUUCUCAGUACUGUCAGUAGUGGGAUCACCAGCUGGAGGUGGUGCAAAAGGGCACUUUGAAAGGUGAUAAUUUGCAACUGCUUUGCAUGGAAAUAACUUUCCAUUUCUUCUUCCUUUCCUGUGCUGUCUUCACUGUCUUGGAAGAAGUAUGACUGAGGGAAAAAUGGUUUAUUAAACGAUAUGGGAUACUGUACUAGAUAAACCUUCAGGGAUUCUCACUAGAUAAACUUUGUCUUGGAUCCAACAUAGUUGUCCUUGCGUUGAGCUUUUUUAUUUUAAUCACUUUCUUCUCUUUUGCUUUAGAAUAUCUUAUGACUGCAGCUGGGAAAAUUUGGUUGUAUGAGAGUGCUCUUGCAGGAAAACUACCUCCUGCAGUGAUACAAAUGUGGUGGGCUUUGGUUUUAAAUUAUGAAUUAUUGCAGUUACUUUGAUUUAUAUUGAACAUUUUAAUGCACACAAAUAAGUGGAAAAGUUUUAUUUCUAUUUGACCUCAUGUGAUGAAUUCAAAUGAGAGGGGGUUGAAUUUUUAAAAUAGAAGAUCUAAGGUCAUUUAAUUGCAUUGUUUUCCAUAUUUCUUUUCCCUUUUAUUUCUAAAUAAUUUAUCUGUUAGAGUUACUCUGUGUGAGAACAAAAUUGGCUCCAUUUUUAGAGCCAAUUGGAACAACCACCCACAAUUAUUAUUGCUUUAGGUCAAGUGCUGAAGAAAAUAACCAAUCCUGUGUGCAUGGCAACUAUUUUCAGAGACAUCUGAAUAAAAAGUAUAUAAAAGGAUAGACAAGAUGGAUGGGUGAACUGAGAACAACCAAGCCUUUCAGUCUUUUUACAUGGGAUGUUCACCUCAAUGACAGCUGGAGCUAUACUGUACAAAUGAGUUUGCAGGAUUGAGACCUCAGCUAACAAGCUGUGCAGAAAGUCACAAAAAGAUCAGUCUUCAUUUUGAUAUAAUCAAAUUAAAGAAAAAUUUUAAACUGAUUUUUUUUCAAAAUAAAAAGGGAAAAGAAGAAGAAAAGGA